GCCAGCAUGACAUAGUGGUUUGAGCAUUGGACUAUGACUCUGGAGAGCAGGGUUCGAGUCCCAUGUUGGCC
rnacentral:tRNA from 1 species